GAUGAACGCUGGCGGCGUGCCUAAUACAUGCAAGUCGAGCGAACAGAUGAGGAGCUUGCUCCUCUGACGUUAGCGGCGGACGGGUGAGUAACACGUGGAUAACCUACCUAUAAGACUGGGAUAACUUCGGGAAACCGGAGCUAAUACCGGAUAAUAUAUUGAACCGCAUGGUUCAAUAGUGAAAGACGGUUUUGCUUUCACUUAUAGAUGGAUCCGCGCGGCAUUAGCUAGUUGGUAAGGUAACGGCUUACCAAGGCAACGAUGCGUAGCCGACCUGAGAGGGUGAUCGGCCACACUGGAACUGAGACACGGUCCAGACUCCUACGGGAGGCAGCAGUAGGGAAUCUUCCGCAAUGGGCGAAAGCCUGACGGAGCAACGCCGCGUGAGUGAUGAAGGUCUUCGGAUCGUAAAACUCUGUUAUUAGGGAAGAACAAAUGUGUAAGUAACUAUGCACGUCUUGACGGUACCUAAUCAGAAAGCCACGGCUAACUACGUG
rnacentral:rRNA from 1 species